CUUUUCGUAACUGGCAACAUUGCGAUUUCUGGUUGACGUUUUCCUUUUGACACAUGCAUGAUGUUGUCUGUCAUUCCGCUGACAAAAUUAAAACCCACUCGUUUUCGUGUUUGUUUAAAUAAGAAAAAUAGCUAAACAUGCAUAAAAAGUGUUACGAAAGUAGAUCUAUGCGUAUUUUAAAACUGGUUAACAAAAAUAACGAGGAGAAUAACAUUAAUUCUUAUCAUGAAAACAAAGAAGACGGCGACGACGAAUUGUGCAACAGUGAUUCUAUUCUAUCAGAGAGUAACCGCAUAGUACUUACUUUUGAGAAUACUGUCUUGGAAGAAGGAACUAGUUCACAAAUAGUGCAUCAUAAUAAUCUG